rnacentral:rRNA from 1 species
UACGGAGGGUGCAAGCGUUAUCCGGAUUCACUGGGUUUAAAGGGUGCGUAGGUGGGCUGGUAAGUCAGUGGUGAAAUCUCCAGGCUUAACUUGGAAACUGCCAUUGAUACUAUCAGUCUUGAAUACCGUGGAGGUCAGCGGAAUAUGUCAUGUAGCGGUGAAAUGCUUAGAUAUGACAUAGAACACCAAUUGCGAAGGCAGCUGGCUACACGAAUAUUGACACUGAUGCACAAAAGCGUGGGGAUCAAACAGG